rnacentral:lncRNA from 1 species
UCUCCCCUGUGUGACCUAUGUACACUCUGGGCAACGAAACAGCAGGGUGCGGUGGCUCACUCCUGUAAUUCCAACACUCUGGGAGGCCAAGGCGGGCAGAUCACCUGAGUUCGGGAGUUCAAGACCACCCUCACAAACAUGGAGAAACCUGGUUGCUAGUAAAAAUACAAAAUUAGCCGGGCAUGGUGGCGCAUGUGUAUAAUGCCGGCUACUCGGGAGGCUGAGUCAGGAGAAUUGCUUGAACCCAGGAGACCUCGGAGGUUGUGGUGAGCCAAGAUUGUGCCAUUGCACUCCAGCCUGGGCAGCAAGAGUGGAACUCCAUCUCAAACAACAACAACAACAACAAAACAUAUCGAAGGGCUAACUGCACUGUCUAUAGUGACUCCCUCCUCUGAAGUCGUGAACCCUUCAAAGUCAUCUAUCAGAGUUGAAUCAGCUUUCACAAAAUUGUUGAUGAUCACACUGAAGUAUAAGAAAUUAAAUAAUCCAAGAUCAUACAAUGGGAAAGAGGUGAAACUGGGAUUUGAACAAAGGGAUGAUGAAAUGGCUGCCCUCUUCACCAAUGGGCUAGAAGAACAAAGAUUUUUAAAGAGCUUGCUGGAGAUGGCCAUAAAGUAA